UACGGGGGGGGCAAGCGUUGUUCGGAAUUACUGGGCGUAAAGGGCUCGUAGGCGGCCGCUUAAGUCAGACGUGAAAUCCCUCGGCUUAACCGGGGAACUGCGUCUGAUACUGGAUGGCUUGAAUCCGGGAGAGGGAUGCGGAAUUCCAGGUGUAGCGGUGAAAUGCGUAGAUAUCUGGAGGAACACCGGUGGCGAAGGCGGCAUCCUGGACCGGCAUUGACGCUGAGGAGCGAAAGCCAGGGGAGCAAACGGG
rnacentral:rRNA from 1 species